CAGCACAAAGUAGCCAUGGAAAACAUUUCAAUGAUUUUCUGUCUUAUUUUCUGAUUCAUAAGAGCAAGAGAAUGUACAAAAUCAUAUUGAUUAAGAUCAAGCAUGAAGUCUACCGCAAAACUUUUAUCACUCUUUCAAAACUGACAAAAUCAAAGCGGCUUGGUGGAAGCAUCAUCAUAGGAAGAUGAGGUCAUAGAAAACACAAUUGGACAAGAACAGGCAAGAAGAGAAUGGAAAAUUAAACAAACCCCAAACUGAGGCACUGACCAUAAAAGCAAUCCAGAAUUAUGGAAUCUAACUUGAGAAUUCAACUGUCAAGUAAAUGAAAGCCCUGCGAUUUCUGGAUACCUAAGAUAUCCACAAGUAAUGGCAACAAGAGAUGUUUAUAUAAUUUUUUAAAUCUUAUUUAACCCCCUAGAAUGGGUUGUAAAUUUCAGUUGGUAGGCUUGUUGUUAAGAUAGAAGCAAAAAUAUCUAAGCAUAGCUACAA